UAUGUGGCAACACAUAGAGUGGCGAACGGGUGAGUAACACGUGGGAACGUACCUUCUGCAGGGGGAUAACUGACCGAAAGGACAGCUAAUACCGCAUAAGACCGAGAGGAGAAAGGUGCAGCAGCAUCGGCAGAGGAGCGGCCCGCGGACCAUCAGCUAGUUGGUGGGGUAAGAGCCUACCAAGGCAACGACGGAUAGCCGGCGUGAGAGCGUGGCCGGCCACAAGGACACUGAGAUACGGGUCCUACUCCUACGGGAGGCGGCAGUGCGGAAUUUUAGAUAAUGGAGGCAACUCUGAUCUAGCGACGCCGCGUGCAGGAAGAAGGUCUUCGGAUUGUAAACUGCUGUGGUAAGGGAAAAAUGCCAUGUAGAGUGGAAAGCUACAUGGAGGGAUGGUACUUUACUAGAAAGCCCCGGCUAACUACAUGCCAGCAGCCGCGGUAAUACGUAGAGGGCGAGCGUUACCCGGAAUCACUGGGCGUAAAGGGAGCGUAGGUGGCCUGACAUGUCGACUGUGAAAACCCGGAGCUCAACUCCGGACUUGCAGUUGAAACUGCCAGGCUUGAGGACGGUAGAGGAAGACGGAACUGCCAGUGUAGGGGUAAAAUCCUUAGAUAUUGGCAGGAACGCCGGUGACGAAGGUGGUUUUCUGGGCCGGUUCUGACACUGAUGCUCGAAAGCCAGGGGAGCGAACGGGAUUAGAUACCCCGGUAGUCCUGGCCCUAAACGAUGU
rnacentral:rRNA from 1 species